rnacentral:rRNA from 1 species
CUGCAGUCGCGCGGAUCAGGAGCUUGCUCCUGUGACGCGAGUGGCGGACGGGUGAGUAACACGUAGGCAACCUGCCCAUCAGACCGGGAUAACCACGGGAAACCGUGGCUAAUACCGGAUAAUCCUUUUCUUCAUAGGAAGGAAAGUUGAAAGGCGGUUUCGGCUGUCACUGAUGGAUGGGCCUGCGGCGCAUUAGCUAGUUGGUGGGGUAAGGGCCCACCAAGGCGACAAUGCGUAGCCGACCUGAGAGGGUGAUCGGCCACACUGGGACUGAAACACGGCCCAAACUCCUACGGGAGGCAGCAGUAGGGAAUCUUCCGCAAUGGACGCAAGUCUGACGGAGCAACGCCGCGUGAGUGAAGAAGGGUUUCGGCUCGUAAAACUCUGUUGUCAGGGAAGAACGUCCCCGUGAGUAACUGCACGGGGAGUGACGGUACCUGACCAGAAAGCCACGGCUAACUACGUGCCAGCAGCCGCGGUAAUACGUAGGUGGCAAGCGUUAUCCGGAAUUAUUGGGCGUAAAGCGCGCGUAGGCGGUCUGUUAAGUCUGAUGUGAAAGCCCCCGGCUCAACCGGGGAGGGUCAUUGGAAACUGGCAGACUUGAGUGCAGAAGAGGAGAGUGGAAUUCCAUGUGUAGCGGUGAAAUGCGCAGAGAUAUGGAGGAACACCAGUGGCGAAGGCGGCUCUCUGGUCUGCAACUGACGCUGAGGUGCGAAAGCGUGGGGAUCAAACAGGAUUAGAUACCCUGUAGUCCACGCCGUAAACGAUGAGUGCUAAUGUUAGGGGGUUUCCGCCCCUUAGUGCUGCAGCUAACGCAU